AUUGAACGCUGGCGGCAUGCUUUACACAUGCAAGUCGAACGGUAACAGGCCGCAAGGUGCUGACGAGUGGCGAACGGGUGAGUAAUGCAUCGGAACGUGCCCAGUCGUGGGGGAUAACGCAGCGAAAGCUGUGCUAAUACCGCAUACGAUCUGUGGAUGAAAGCGGGGGACCGUAAGGCCUCGCGCGAUUGGAGCGGCCGAUGUCAGAUUAGGUAGUUGGUGGGGUAAAGGCCUACCAAGCCGACGAACUUUAGCGGGUCUGAGAGGACGACCAGCCACACUGGGACUGAGACACGGCCCAGACGCCUACGGGAGGCAGCAGUGGGGAAUUUUGGACAAUGGGCGCAAGCCUGAUCCAGCAAUGCCGCGUGCAGGAAGAAGGCCUUCGGGUUGUAAACUGCUUUUGUACGGAACGAAACGGUCUGGGUUAAUACCCUGGGCUAAUGACGGUACCGUAAGAAUAAGCACCGGCUAACUACGUGCCAGCCGCCGCGGUAACAC
rnacentral:rRNA from 1 species